UAGUUCCCAGCAAUGCCGCCCUAUAAAAAACGCAAACUAUGCUAGGUGUGCUCUCGGCACUUCAGGAUGAAAUUACGUAGCACGCUAGGCGUGUUCACUGGCACUGUAAAGAGGUAAAAUCAUAAUUUGACUUCUU